rnacentral:rRNA from 1 species
UACGUAGGGUGCGAGCGUUGUCCGGAAUUAUUGGGCGUAAAGGGCUCGUAGGCGGUCUGUUACGUCAGGAGUGAAAACUCGGGGCUCAACCCCGAGCCUGCUUCUGAUACGGGCAGACUGGAGGUAUGCAGGGGAGAACGGAAUUCCUGGUGUAGCGGUGAAAUGCGCAGAUAUCAGGAGGAACACCGGUGGCGAAGGCGGGUCUCUGGGCCGAUACUGACGCUGAGGAGCGAAAGCGUGGGGAGCAAACAGG